rnacentral:misc_RNA from 1 species
GGAGAAAUCGCAAGGCCAAUUAUUCUUGAUUGGGUGAUUGCUCAGCAUGAGAGGAUACUUGAAUGGACUGGACGUGCUGCUGAUCUUGAGGACUGGGAGCCCCUAUCACAUCAGCAAAAACAAGCAGCUUCAGCUGUAGAAGUAUUUAGAAUCAUAGAGGAGACUGUUGAUCAAUUUUUUGAGCUGAGGCUUCCAGUGGAUAUCACACACUUGCAGGCUUUACUUUCCAUAAUCUUUCACACGUUGGAUGCCUACUUGCAGAAAGUGGUUAACCAGUUAGUUGACAAGCAUAAUCUUUAUCCUCCUGCUCCUCCCUUGACUCGUUAUAAGGAGACAGCAUUUACAAGCGCCAAGAAAAAGUUGGUUGAAUAUGUGGUUCUUGA